ensembl:lncRNA
GGGAAACGAAACAGAUGCAGCCACAAUGGAGCUGGUAGGAGCAUUCACAAAACCGGGUAAAAUAAGCUAAUCACUCAAAGUGAGAAAUGGAGCAGAAAAAGAUGGCAGCUAUGAAUCAGAGCCCAUCUAGAGAAGUGCCCCAGAGAGGGCUGGCAGAUUCAGAUCUUAGCACAGUGAUGUCCAAAAUGACAAUUAAUAAACACCAAGCCGAUCCUGAGUGUGAGAACAUAACACCGACUUCACCUGUAUCGAGCUGUGUGUCAAUGAAAAGUGACCAUUCAAUGAACCCUCCACUGAAGUUUCAGGAAGAAUCAUCAAGCAUUCCCGGGGGAAAACCACUUUCGCCUGUACCGAGCUGUCUGUCAAUGAAAAGUGAUAAUUCAAUGAACCCUCCACUGAAAUUUCAAAGUGAAACAUCACAAGUGCACAGGGGAAAACAAGCUUCGCCCGUACCGAGCUGUCUGUCAAUGAAAAGUGAUAAUUCAAUGAACCCUCCACUGAAAUUUCAAAGUGAAACAUCACAAGUGCACAGGGGAAAACAAGCUUCGCCUGUACCGAGCUGUCUGUCAAUGAAAAGUGAUAAUUCAAUGAACCCUCCACUGAAAUUUCAAAGUGAAACAUCACAAGUGCACAGGGGAAAACAAGCUUCGCCCGUACCGAGCUGUCUGUCAAUGAAAAGUGAUAAUUCAAUGAACCCUCCACUGAAAUUUCAAAGUGAAACAUCACAAUUGCACAGGACGAUAAAACAGGAGAGAUCC